AGGUUCUUCAGGAGACUCUGGACGGUAGAUAAAGCUCCAGGUUCUUCAGGAGAGUCUGGACGGUAGAUAAAGCUCCAGGUUCUUCAGGAGAGUCUGGACGGUAGAUAAAGCUCCAGGUUCUUCAGGAGACUCUGGACGGUAGAUAAAGCUCCAGGUUCUUCAGGAGAGUCUGGACGGUAGAUAAAGCUCCAGGUUCUUCAGGAGAGUCUGGACGGUAGAUAAAGCUCCGGGUUCUUCAGGAGACUCUGGACGGUAGAUAAAGCUCCGGGUUCUUCAGGAGACUCUGGACGGCAGAUAAAGCUCCGGGUUCUUCAGGAGAGUCUGGACGGUAGAUAAAGCUCCAGGUUCUUCAGGAGAGUCUGGACGGUAGAUAAAGCUCCGGGUUCUUCAGGAGAGUCUGGACGGUAGAUAAAGCUCCAGGUUCUUCAGGAGAGUCUGGACGGUAGAUAAAGCUCCAGGUUCUUCAGGAGACUCUGGACGGUAGAUAAAGCUCCAGGUUCUUCAGGAGAGUCUGGACGGUAGAUAAAGCUCCGGGUUCUUCAGGAGAGUCUGGACGGUAGAUAAAGCUCCAGGUUCUUCAGGAGAGUCUGGACGGUAGAUAAAGCUCCAGGUUCUUCAGGAGACUCUGGACGGUAGAUAAAGCUCCAGGUUCUUCAGGAGAGUCUGGACGGUAGAUAAAGCUCCGGGUUCUGCUGCUGCUCCGGCCUCGUUCCAUUUUAAUGGGAGGAAAUUCCUGUGAUAUGAGCCGGAAUUGUUCUCUGCUGGUUCCAUUACAGAACCUCUGGUGACUUCACAUGUUCCAUUUCCGUCAAACAGGGAAAUGCCUGCAGAACAACAAUACUACUUCCUGUGAGGCUGAAGGUCUAUUUGCUGAGCAGAACUACAGGAUCAGACGCUCACGGUCCCCUCAGGAUAAACCCUGAAACUGGAGCUGAACCCAGAAAAUAACCUGAAACUUACAUAUUCUCUGAUUUAGUGUUUUCUUGUUUAUCAAGGUUUUUAAGUAUUUGAACUUUUGCACAAACAGAAUAGUUUUGCUCUAGAGUUUUG